rnacentral:rRNA from 1 species
CAGUCGCCGCGGUAAUACGGAGGGUGCAAGCGUUAAUCGGAAUUACUGGGCGUAAAGCGCACGCAGGCGUUCUGUCAAGUCAGAUGUGAAAUCCCCGGGCUUAACCUGGGAACUGCAUUUGAAACUGGCAGGCUAGAGUCUUGUAGAGGGGGGUAGAAUUCCAGGUGUAGCGGUGAAAUGCGUAGAGAUCUGGAGGAAUACCGGUGGCGAAGGCGGCCCCCUGGACAAAGACUGACGCUCAGGUGCGAAAGCGUGGGGAGCAAACAGGAUUAGAUACCCCUGUAGUCCCUGUCUCUUAUAC